CCCGAAAAUGGAGUUGUCGCAUCAAGAUCGUAUCUCAAUUUCCCAGAAAUUAAUGUUGGUUGUUGGUCAUGAUAAAACACUUUGUUAAUCAAAUAGAUUAUCAUGGUGGAGGGCUUGCAGAAGUUUUUUGGUCAGAUACUAAUUAUCUUUUAUGCGGCGGUGGUGGUCGAGGUGGUUAUGGUGAUACUGGGGACAUCAUGCUACAAACAACAUCAAAGAUGGAGGAUGUGGGUAGGAAAGACAUCAACAACAGGGAUGCCCUUUGCAGUGUGUACUAUAGAAUCUGUAUACACUUUGCUGCCAAGCUCAUGUACUAAGAAGCAACUGUGCAAACAUUGAUAUAGAAGGUCACGAAAAUAUCCAUGUAGUCACAAAAUGUUGAAUUCAGUUACUUUGAAUUGCAACACUUAAUUGAAAGAGCUUAAUCAGUUAUGUAGCAUUCUUGAUGCCAAUACCUUUGUAUUUUUGAAAGAGAAGAUUAUAUUGA